rnacentral:rRNA from 1 species
CGUAGGUGGCGAGCGUUGUCCGGAAUUACUGGGUGUAAAGGGCGUGUAGGCGGGAAUGCAAGUCAGAUGUGAAAUGCCGAGGCUUAACCUCGGAGCUGCAUCUGAAACUGUGUUUCUUGAGUGUCGGAGAGGAAAGUGGAAUUCCCAGUGUAGCGGUGAAAUGCGUAGAUAUUGGGAGGAACACCAGUGGCGAAGGCGACUUUCUGGACGAUAACUGACGCUGAGGCGCGAAAGCGUGGGGAGCAAACAGGAUUAGAUACCCUGGUAGUCCACGCCGUAAACGAUGGAUACUAGGUGUAGGGGGUAUCGACCCCCCCUGUGCCGCAGUUAACACAAUAAGUAUCCCGCCUGGGGAGUACGGCCGCAAGGUUG